rnacentral:piRNA from 1 species
UUUCUUUUUUGUGUUCAUAAC